ensembl:lncRNA
AAAGGGACACCAAUAACUGGCAGAAGGCUUUGGACAUGGAUGAUUUUGCUGUGUGCUCAUUACUUUGUGAGAUCAUAAACAAACAGACAAUGCUUUGCAGUCAGCUUAAUCAGUCCUGGUAACUCCUCUACACACCUCCCAGCAUGAAGCCUUGUGAAUACAGCUUGUUUUCAGGGGUGAAGGAAGAGAACAGGAUGGAUUUUUAACUGUGCCAGCUGUAUUCUACUGGCAACAGCUAUGGUCUCAAAGAUCUUAUCCGAUAUCACUAAAGCUCUUUGAAGGUGGGAAGCUCUGCCGCCAACUCGUUGCAACUGAGAGAAGUGUCAACGAUUUAAGGGCUGGUCCGGCCCGGUUCCGCGACUAGUGGGCGGAGGGAUUUCUCAAAAUCCACGCCUCCAGGAAGGGAAACAGGGGAGCCCAAAAUAAUUAAAAACAGCGGCAACGAUCUGAGGAGAAACAAACUAAUUUACUAAAUAUAGUAUCGGAAUGUAAGAUAACACACUAUAAUACAAUAUAAAUCAGCAAUAAUUGAGAGAAAGAUUGUCCGAGAGCCAAAGGCCUUACGCUAAUACUGAAACCUUGCGUGCAGUCGGGCGCAGCAGUAGUGAGCCGAUCUGACAGGGAACAUGGCGAGAUGAGAAGAGGGACAAGUCAGAUGACCUGCGCCCUUAUAUCUGUUCCCUUGAGCAGGAAUGAUAACAGUAUUCGAAAAGGCUCUUGGGGAACGUAGUUCUUCUUCUCUUCCAGACAGGUACCCGGAACUAAAGCAUUUGCUCCUUAGCUCCCAGUACACUGCAUGAUGUUGUGAUGUGGAAUACUGAUAACCAAAAAUCAUAAAACCAUGACAAGAAGUUACAGAUUUGAAAAAUCUUCAGUAAGUACUAGAAGUGUUUUAGGUAAUGAAAGAAAACACUUCAAUCCUGAAAAUCUUACCAAAUUUUUGAGCUGUUUAUGCACCACUGGCAACAACAUUUUGGAUCAUGAAGUUCUGUAAAUACACAAAUACAGGAUACUAAAUGUAGACAAGACUACCAUUUUGAGUGGUAAGAUAAUUUGUUCCCUACUUAAGUUCUGUUGCUGACCAAGUAAGGAGAAUAGCAACCAAACAUCACCUAGAACACUACUGGCCCUUGAUUUACUUGGCUCAUGUUUAGGACACUAGUUGUCAGGAAACUUCACAGGUGAGUUUUAAAAAUUUAAUUAGCUUUCUAAUACAUUGAGUAUUAAUGUACCUUUUUAGUUUUGUUUAUGUAAUUAUAUUAAUUAAAGCUACUUAUAUACUGGCCUAACCACCUUAAUGUUCAACUGAAUAAUGAAAUUAGUAAGAACAGUGAAACAACAAAUGUGUUUCAUUUUCUUGUGGCACUAUGUUCUUAGACAAUUAUUAUUAUUAUUAUUAUUAUUAUUAUUAUUAUUAUUUAUUUAUUUUGCUGGGAAAUGAAAAGCUUCAGUUCUGUAAGGGAGUUAGCAUAUGCCCAGACUCCAACUUUUACUGAAAUUCCUCUUUAUUCUCUAGAUAGCUUCAGCAUAUGCUUUAAAUUAAGGUCAUAUUAAAAUUUCUGUUUUCAGAUCAAUCUGAACAUAUAUGCUCUGCUGUUCUGAAUGCAAAGACAUGAAUUCAGCAGAUGUAACAGUACAACAUUAAAGCCAGUAUCUACUCCCCAGAUUCAUACUACUGUCAAUCUACUAUGAAAAAAAUUGUUGUACAAUACUGAAAAUAAUAUAUUUGCUUUCAUUAUUAUAUUUUUGCUUGUUGGGUAUGUUAAUUCAAAUGCAAAUCUUUAGGACUGAAACUAAGUCAAGCUCACAAAUACACAUAUUUCAUAGAAUCAUAGCUUGAUCAUAGUUUGAGUCGGAAGGGCCAUCUAGUCCAACACCAAUGCAAUGAACAGGGACACCUACGGCUGGAUCAGGUUGUGCUUGUAUUUAAGUUCAUACUGAUCAGGCAGUGUUUAGUAUAUGAAUUGUCAUCCUUAAUGAAAUGGUUUAAUCAUUAAGACAAAUCAGAAAACCUGUAUGGCAAUCUUAGCAUUUUAUUGAAAUAUCUGAACAUAUUUUUACCUUAUCAAUUUCUAUGUGUUACUUAUAAAUCCACUUUACAACUGAAGUCAUAGGAGAAACAAUGUGCUUCUGGAAGUAUGAAAAACUUGAUCAGAAGUAUUUAACUUCAGCAAAUGAUUCUCAAGAUGUCUUGCUCUCUUACAAUUUCAUUGUGUACUGUAGAGAAUAUUCCACUCACUACGAGCAUUAAGAGACCUGUCAUUCAUAUAAGCAGCAUGACAAGUGAUUCAAUAAAACACAUGACAUAUCCUCUGGUUGAACUGACAACAGGAUCUAGGGAGAAUCAGAUAUGCCUUUAAAAAGUGUUUAGUACUUUAACACUGUGCAGCAUAGAAAUCCCUUUUUAACAAAUUGUUAUGGGGAAAAAUGAGAAAAAAAAACAUUUUUCAGGAUGAAGAUCAUACUGCAUCUGCUAGAUAAUACCACAUAAUACUGAGAUAAUUGAAUUCAUUGCAUUUGGAGGAUCCUAGUUUGCCAGAUUAUUCAUUUUGCAGGAGCACUUCAUCUUUAGAAGCUUGGCUUCUCUGCCAAUCUAUGCUCAAGGCUGUGUGAGGCAAAAUUAAGUUACAUAUUGAGAAGAGCAACAAAGAAUAAAGACACUGACCUAGUUCAGAAGCUAUAAACAUUUUUAAUACAC